GGAGCACAGGCUCCGGACGCGCAGGCUCAGCGACCAUGGCUCAUGGGCCCAGCCGCUCCGCGGCAUAUGGGAUCUUCCCGGACUGGGUCACAAACCCGUGUCCCCUGCAUCGGCAGGUGGACUUUCAACCACUGCGCCACCAGGGAAGCCCCUGACAUUGCUUUUUAAGAUGAGCAUACCGGCUUACACACCCAUCAGCUGUGUACAAGAGUUCAAAAAUUUUCACAUUCUUACUAGCAAAUAUUAUUGAAACUCUGCAAAAUUUUGCUGAGGUAUGGGUAUGAAAUGGCUUAAAAUUUAUCUUCUCUUAGUAAAUAAUGAGGUUAAGGAUCUUUGCUUAUGUUUGUUGGUCAUUCCAGAUUCCACAUCUAUGAAUUGCCUGUGUAUGGUUCUUGUCAAUUAUUCUGUUUGAUUGUUGGCUUUUUUCUUGUUUAUUUGUUAGUGCUCUCUGUAUAGUCUGUAUAUUGAUCCUUGUUGAUCAUAUGGCUUGCAAAUAUCUUCUGUCAGUCUUCUGUUUGUAGUUUCUACUUGUUUCCAGUGUCUUUUGAUGUAGUUUUAAAUUUUAAUGAUGUCAAAUUUACGAAAUUUUUCCUUCACAUUUUGUGCAGUUUGUGUAUUUUAAAAGAAAUCUUGCUUUAUUCAAGAGCAUAAAAAAAUGCUUCUAAUUUUUUUCUAAAAGUGUGAAAGUUUUCCUUUUUGACUUUUAAGUCUUUAAACAACUGGAAGUAAUUUUUUAUUUGUCAACCAAAUUUUUUUUUCCAUUUAUAUCAAAACAUUGCAGUGCUAUUUAUCAAAUACUGUAUAUACACGUAUACACCUACAUGCCUACAUCUAUAUUUAUUUCUAUAAGUAACUGUAGAUAUUGGGAAUUGAGUUCAUGCUGAUACCUUCAAUUCCAAUCCAAUACCACAGGAUACAUUUCGGCCUUUCUCUUUUUCAUGUUUGUAACUCCUUUUCUGACAUGAGGAAUCUGGCUCCCAAUAUCUGUGUAUUUACUUAAUUGAUUAAUCCUUCCUGUGUGUAAUCAAUUUCCCCAUGUCGUCUUGCUCCUCUCAUGGGCUCAGACCUCAGAUCUUACGUUGGUGAAACUUGAAUGGGGUCUGUGGAGUAGGUAGUUGUAAUAUAUCAGUAUAAAUUUUCCUGCUGUAGCUUCCUUCCUUCACCCCUCUGAACACUCUUCUCACUCACUGGGGCUCCGAACUCACUCUGGGCUGGGAUGCCACCUCCUCUCCCACUUCCUUUGGCCCUGCCUUUUGGAUGGAAUUAUUCUGGAAGGAAGGUAGGAUUUUGUUUAAUUUAAAAGAAAAUUACUAUGGAAAAUUUCAAACAUAUAAGUGUAAAGAGAAUAUUACAAUGAACCCCCCUCUGCCUCUCACGUAACUUCAACAACUCUCAUCUUUGCACCAUUUUCUUUUUUCCUCUGUUUCUUUCUGAGUAUUUCAAAGCAAAUCUAGACCUUAUAUCAGUUCACCCACAAGUACAAAUUUCAGUAUGAAUUUCUAACAAAUGAGGACUUUUUUCUUAACAUGAACAUAGUAUCAUUAUGGCAACUAACUUGGUAGUGAUUCCUUAAUGCCAUUGUGAUAUAGUUUUCCCAGUUGUCUCAAAUAUGCCAUUUUACAGUUGUUUUGGUCUGAUUAGGGCCCAAAUAAGGUUUACCGUUGCAUUUGGUUGGUAUAUCUAUUCAGUCUCUUUUAAUAUAUGACAGCUCCCCUUUCUCCCCUGCCCUUUUGAAAGAUGCCAUUUAUUUGUUGAAGAACCUGAAUCUUCUGUUCUAUAGAAUAUAGAAUGUCCCACAUUCUGGAUUUGGUUGAUUACUUCUUUUAAGUAUCAUUUAAUUCAUUAAUUCUCAAACUCAGCUGCAUACUGGAAUCACCUAGGAAAUAUUUAAAGUCAUUCAUGCCUGAGUCCCACCCUCUGACAUUCUGAUUUAAUCGAUUUCGGUUUCAGCCAAGGUAUCAGGAUGUUUUAAAAGCUCCUCAGUGAUCCUAAUGUGCUGAGGUGUUUGAAAACUGCUUAACUUGCUUCUGUAUCUCACCUAUACAAAGGCAUUAGGAUCUAGAAACUAGAUUCAGGUUCACUUAUUUUGCCAAUGCUUCAUGGCAGUGCCCUGUACCUAGUGUGGCAGCUCAUCAAGAGAAGAAUAUUUUCUAGUAGUUUUCCUUUGUAACAGCCUUGACAUCUCUCAUUUUCUUAAGUUUUAUCUCUUUGUUAUCCCUUGAACUGCAGAGGGAACAAAAACUAGGGAAUAAAAACUCAGGAAGGGAGCUUCCCUUGUGGCGCAGUGGUUGAGAGUCUGCCUGCUGAUGCAGGGGACACUGGUUCGAGCCCUGGUCUGGGAGGAUCCCACAUGCCGCGGAGCAACUGGGCCCGUGAGCCACAACUACUGAGCCUGUGCGUCUGGAGCCUGUGCUCCUCAACAAGAGGCCGCGACAGUGAGAGGCCCACACACCGCGAUGAAGAGUGGCCCCCGCUCGCUACAACUGGAGAAAGACCUCGCACAGAAAUGAAGACCCAACACAGCCAAAAAUAAAUAAAUAAAUAAAUUUAUAAAAACAAACAAACAAAAUAACUCAGGAAGGUAUCAGCAUGGUAUUCUUCCAUUUAAUGAACUUCUACCAAACUUGUAUUCCAUUGGGUAGAAAGGGGACUUACUGACAUCUUGGUCCACCAAAAUAACUUUGCAGUCAUUUCUGGCUUAAAAUCUAAUCCUGCCUGGUUCAAAGGAAUCUCGGGGCUUCCAUUUUAGGGUAGGCCUAAUUUAUUAUAGGCCAGGCAUUGUUCUAAGCACUUUACACAAAAACUCACCUUAAUGCUCACAACAUCCCUUUCAUCAAUGCAAUAAUCAAUAAACAAUCUAUAAUAAUAAUAGAAAAGAGUUUUAUUUGAGCCAAACUGAGGACUGUAACCCAAGAGACAUGGAUUCAAGAAGCACUUGAAUGGUGUUCUGUCAGACUACAAAAUGGGGGGCAGGGGCUUAGGUAGGCAAAAAACAAUUUGUACACAAAUUGUCAAGAAUUAGGAUUGGAGGGGACUUCCCUGGUGGUCCAGUGUUUAAGAAUCUGCCUUCCAAUGCAGGGGACAUGGGUACGAUCCCUGGUCGGGGAACUAAGAUCCCACAUGCCACAGGGCAUCUAAGCCCACGUGCUCUAGAGCCCACGUGCCACAACUAGAGAGCCUGCAUGCUGCAACUACUGAGCCUGCACAUGCACCACAACGAAAGAUCCCACAUGCCACAACUAAGACCUGACACAGCCAAAUAAAUAAAUUAGGAUUGGAGCUGGCAAGAAGUAAGGGUACUUGCUAAGCAAGGGUUGGUUGGGGCCCAAAAUGGGUUACAUAGUUACAAGGGGAGACCUUGAGACCUUAAGGUUGCAGCUGGCAGCUACUAGCAGAUAUUGUUUUGAGAACAGCUGGUAGUGUCCUUGAGUUUGAUACAGUUUAGAAAAUUCAGGUUCUCAGUGACGCAGGAACAUUUCUGAAACCACAUGCACAAUGGUUACCCGGUUCCAUUUUGGAUGCCCGAACCACAGUUUCAUAUCUUGUCAGAACAAAGAACAAAUAUCAAACAUGACGGGUGCAUUCCUUCAAGGUUUCAAAAGAGACAGAUUAGCACAUACACAGCGAGUCAGCAUGACCUUGGUGUCUGGGAAGGGACCCUUAUCUUUGAAGGAGUAAUAGCAUUGGCAUCAUGGGCAGGCUGGGGGGGGAUUUAUCUCUGUCUUCAAAGUGGAGAUUGUGAACAAUAUGGUAAAUGCAUUCUUUUUUAAUGGUUAGAACAGAUGUACACCAUAUAAGUCAGAAUGACUUCCCCAUACCUCAACAGGCAAAAAUUUCCUCCAUCACUAUCUACUGUUACUAUCCCCAUUUAUAGAUUGGGUAAGUCAGGCACAGAGAGGAUAAGUAAUUUACCAAGGUCACCCAGCUAGUACGUGGUACAGCCAAGAUUACAUACCCAGGAAACUUGGCUUGAGAGUCGGCGGAUCUAACCACUAUUCCAGACCAUAAAUGAGGGCUGGAAAGAAACAAGAAUGAAAGCCCAAGAUAGUAUGGUCCCUGAUGCCAGGGACUAGAGAGUUUCUGAUAGUGGGAAGCCUGGAAAUUCUGGUUGCCUGAGAGGAAGCCAUGGAAAAUACAAAGUGGUAGCUGUUGUGUGUGGAGGGGAAGAGGGACAGAAUCUCUAGUUACUUUUGCAGGAGCAAUCUCAAUGUCUUUGUUGGCAGUUUGCCGCCUACAGUGUGUUAAGGUGAGGACUAGAGUCAGAGAUAGGAGGGCUUUCCUUCAAGUAGUUUAGCCUUGAAAGGGAAGGAAGAAUGGCAGCUGGAGUGGAGCAAGAGCCAGGGGCAGCCACUGCUUCUCCAAGCAAGUGCCUGGUGAUGUGGUCUUCGAUGUUUCUGAGAGAAAGGGCAUGUCCUCCUGCCUGGUGCUCUGAGGAAGCUCUGCUUUCUACUGAAUUUUAGUGUCAAUCUUAUGCCAGCUCUGUAGUCAAGCUUUACAUCAGAGCAUGGGGGGGGGGCACAACAGCAUUCUUACAGGACUGAAAGAUCUAGUCUUAUUUCUUAUGAUACAGAGCCUGUCAUCCUUUUUUUCUCCUUCCCCUAACUGCUUCCCUUGAGUGGAGGUAAGGGCGUGGUUGCUAACGGGUUAACUCGGGGACAACCACCGAGAGGUGCUUCCUAGAGAGCCCGGGAAGUGGCAUUGAUUCCCACCGAGGCUUCCUGUGCCCCAUCCUCAAUUUUUCUCCAGCAUCUGGAAUCUGUUCAUUCCACCAAGACAUCCUUUGGGGUUACUUAUUGUGGGAUUCGGGGUGGGGUGCAGAGGAGGACGCUGCAAAGGCACGGACUACAGGGGGCAAUCUGUGAAGUUGCGCCCCAGGGGUGUCCUGGGCCCCUGGACACGCGGAAGGGGACCACUGCAGUUUUACAGUAUAAUUGUGAUUUCCCACCUUUCAAGAAUUUUCCGAAGAAAUACAACUCCCAGCUAGACUGAGGCCCAAGUACUGCCUUGGUCCAGGAUGGCUAGAGAAUCGAAGGAAAGCGCAGCCUUGGACGCCCAGUCUGCAGAGGACCGGACCGGGAUCCUGACCGUGAAGGUGGAGAAGGAGGAAGCCUCCGCCUUGGCUGCUGAGGCGGUCGCCCCAGGCAGCCCAGCUCCGGGCUCCGAGCACUCCCGCCAGCGCUUCCGAGGCUUCCGCUACCCGGAGGCUGAGGGGCCCCGCGAGGCUCUGAGCCGGCUCCGGGAGCUCUGCCGACUGUGGCUGCGGCCAGAGGUGCACACUAAGGAGCAGAUCCUGGAAGUGCUGGUGCUGGAGCAGUUCCUGACCAUCCUGCCGAGGGACCUGCAGAGCUGGGUGCGGAAGCAGCAUCCGGAGAGCGGGGAGGAGGUGGUGGUGCUCUUGGAGUAUUUGGAGAAGCAGUUGGAUGAGCCGAUGCCGCAGGUCCCAGGUGGUGACCAGGGGCAAGAACUGUUCUGUUGCAAGAUGGCAGUGUUGACACCAGCUCAGAGGUCACGAAAUACCCAGUUCCAGCCAAGAAAGGCUCCACUCAAGCAUGAAUCUCUGGGAUCCCACUCCUUACCAGACAGAAUUCUCCAGGUUCCUAGGCUUGCCUCUGGAGGGCGCUGCAGAGGAGAUGAAGUGGUAGCCGCCAGGCUUGCCCCAGAGUCCCAGGGGCUGCUGAAAAUGGAAGAUGUGGCCCUGACCCUCACUCCUGGAUGGACACAGCUGGAUUCAUCUCAGGUGAACUUCUACAGAGAUGAAAGGCAGGAGAACUGUGGCAGCCUGAUCUCCUUGGGUGGUGCAGUGCAGACGAAGAUCAGGGACCUGCCUCCAGACGAGGACCAUCCAGGACAAGAGUCUGGGCAGAUGCCAUGCCACCUGGGUGAAGCCAUUGGCCAGAUUCCUGCACGUGCAGAAGCUGGUGAUCAGGAGGGCAGGUUACAAAGAAAGCAGAAAAGUGCUGCAGGGAAUAGGCGGCAUUAUUGCCAUGAAUGUGGAAAGACUUUUGCUCAGAGUUCAGGCCUGACUAAGCACAGGAGAAUCCACACUGGGGAGAAACCCUAUGAAUGUGAGGAGUGUGGCAAGACCUUCAUCGGGAGCUCUGCCCUCGUCAUUCAUCAGAGAGUCCACACUGGGGAGAAACCAUAUGAGUGUGAGGAAUGUGGCAAAGUCUUCAGUCACAGUUCAAACCUUAUCAAACACCAGAGAACUCACACCGGGGAGAAGCCCUACGAGUGUGAUGACUGCGGGAAAACCUUUAGCCAGAGCUGCAGCCUCCUUGAACAUCGCAAGAUCCACACUGGGGAGAAGCCAUACCAGUGCAAUGUGUGCGGCAAAGCCUUUAGGCGCAAUUCACAUCUCCUGAGACAUCAGAGGAUCCACGGCGAUAAAAACGUUCAGAAUCCUGACCGUGGAGAGACCUGGGAGAGUCAGGGGAGGAUGGGAAGCCAGUGGGAAAAUGUUGAGGCUCCCGUGUCUUAUAAAUGUAAUGAGUGUGAGAGAAGUUUCACUAGGAAUAGAAGCCUUAUUGAGCACCAAAAAAUCCACACUGGUGAGAAACCCUAUCAGUGUGAUACAUGCGGAAAAGGCUUCACCCGAACUUCAUACCUUAUUCAACAUCAGAGAAGCCACGCUGGGAAAAAAAUUCUGUCUCCAUGACCCAUGUCUUAUAUGCCAGAGUUGGUGCUCACUCCUCGUUGAACUGAAGCCACCCUGGAGCCCUUGCUGACUAGAAAAUUGUGAGCUGGGCUUUAUUUACUCCCACACAUCAUCAGGUGUUUGUUAGAAAUAGAGACUGGCUGAGGUGAAUUAUCUUCUACAUCUUAGAAGAUCACCUUCUGCUAAGUUCUUCAGAGACUGCUACCUUCUUCGUAGGUGCCUGAGUGCCCGUCCCCAGCUUCCAGCUUUAACAAGAAUGGGUUCUGCCUCUGAGGAAAUCGUCCCCAGCAUAGCGUUUUCUUCUGUUCUCAAGUACCCUUGCUGGAUUCCUGCUCUGAAGUACCCCUGGCUGACUAGGGACUUUGCAAACGGUGGGGCUCUUCCUUUAUCAUUUCCCUACAAUCUUUCAUUGCCUUCAUUAUCCCCUUGUUGCAGUAUAAUUUAAAACUUUAGUGUUCUAAAAUCCUGUAGACGUCCUCCAGUUAAUCUUUUCUAGGCUUUUAAAAUUUCCUUUUAAAUUAACCGUAUUUUUGUUACCUCCGCAAAGCUAGCCAUUUCCUCUUGUCUCCUUAUCUUUAUUUUUCCUAACGAUUUGCUAAUAGCCCUGAUCUUAAACAUUGUUCAUUUUUCUUUGGUGUUUGUUUCUUAUGUCAUGUAAAGAGAUACAUAUAAAGCCUUUUACAAACCAGAAAACAUUAUACACUUAAUAAGUAUAAUUUAUUGAGAUCAACAAAGGACCACUGCACCUCCUUUCACUCUUUCUGCUCCUUCCAAACCUAAAAGACUUCUCCGUAGAGGAAGGAAAGAUUAUAGAAAAAUACUUUUGAGUGCCUACUAUGCCUGACAAUGAAAGCGAUAAAGCAUACACACACACAUGCAUACAUACUUGGGCUUAAGCUUUCAGUAUAGUAAUAUUGAUAAGACUUGCACAUAAAAAUAAGACAGUGCCAUGGUAAAUAACUUGUGAGUGGUGAACUGAAUGCUGUGGAAGUUCAGAGGAGGGAAAGGUUACUUCUGGCUGUGUGCUAUUGCAUGGACAGGGUGACAUGUUAGCUGAAAAGACUAAAGGAGUUUGUCAAAUUUAGUAACUAAGGCAAGUUUGAAGAGAUACAUACAUUGUAGCGGCCUUCAAUGCCAGAGCAAGGGGUUGAAAUUUUAUUCAGUAACACUGGGGAGCCACUGACAUUUUAUGAUAAAAAUAUUAUUUAGGAAACUAUCUGGCAUUAUUGUAUAAUUAAAAAGUUACUUUGCUGAUAGUCUUUUAGACACCCCACUUUUGUAUAUAACAAAUGUGUGUUUAUAAGUAAGUGAAUUAUAAAAUGGGUUUAACUCUAGCCUAUUUAAAAGGAUGGUCAAAAAAAUUAUUUUCAGAUGAAAUUAGACCCCAUAGAAUAAGCUGCUUAGUUAGAUAUAAGCAGUAUAUAAAGUGGAAUAAAACGUCACUUUUCAUGCUUUUAAAAAUUGUAUUUAGGAAUUUUAGUGUCAAUUAGCCAUUCUGUUGGAUUGGCCAAAAAGUUCAUUGGGGUUUUGGAAGUUUUUGGCCAAUCCAAUACUUCACUUCUCCAAUUGAAACAAUGCUGAAAUCCCCCAUUUUCUUUCUUCUUCCUUUUCAUUAAUAAGUAACUAAUUAUAGCUAUUUUUUCUACUUGGGUAGAAAAAGAGAUUUUUGAUGAAUAGCCCUCCUAGAUGGGUUCUUAAUUUUGGUAAAGAUGUGUGUAUUCCUGCAAAAGAUUCUGUUUCUUUUCCUUCUCCGGCUGCGUUGGGUCUUCGUUGCUGCGCACGGGCUUACUCUACUUGCGGGUGAGCGGGGGCUACUCUUUGUUGCGGUGCAUGGGCUUCUCAUCGUGGUGGCUUCUCUUGUUGCAGAGCAUGGGCUCUAGGCGCCCGGGCUUCAGUUAUGGUGCAGGGGCUCAGUAGUAGUGGCUCACAGGCUCUAGAGCAUAGGCUCAGUAGUUGUAGCACACGGGCUUAGUUGCUCCGGGGCACGUGGGAUCUUCCCAUGUCCCCUUCAUUGGCAGGCAGAUUCUUAACCACUGCGCCACCAGGGAAGUCCCUCUUUCUCCUCCUUUAGUGGGAAAAAAGAUAGUAGGAGUGCCAACUUACCUCACAGGCUUGCGAGGAUCUGCUCAUACAAAUAAGAAGUGCUGGAUAAAUAAUCUGAAAACGUUAAUAUUGAUAGAGAAAUGGAGGUUAAACACUUUGUUAGCCAAAACCUCUAUAUAUUGGAAUGACAAUUGUUUAAUAGUAAAGGCUCUCUAAAAAAAGUGUCCUGACACAAGCGUGUGACAGUGUUGAUCUUAUCUUGUAGUGAUGUCCCAAAUCAUCUGUGUGGUUCCAUCUCAAUUAUUCAUAAUGAGAACUUUACUCAGUAAACUUAACUUAUCUACUUUUCUCUAAACACACUUUUUAGUCUAUCUUUUGUUACUCCUUGUGAUAGCUAAAAUUGGGUCUGACGAAUUCAAAUGCAGGAACUUUUUUUCAGUCAGCUCUGAAAUGUGGUACCUGUUUUGUACGUUUUAAAUGGAGUUGCUGCUACAGAAAUAUCUGGGGAUGACUACUUUCCUGUGGACUUUUUUUGUUAACAUAACAUUUUAUUGUAGAAAUAUCCUUUUAUUUCUGCAUCUACCCACAUUUCUCACUUUGUCUGUAGCAUUAGCAAGUCCUUUCUGUUUACCACAUCAAUCUAAGACCUUGGAAUUUGAACAUAGCAAGUGCUUCUGGUCUCCUUUCCCAAUUAAUGGCUGAAUACUGUGAUGUAUUCCUGCCUGUUCGAUGUAUUUUGUUUAUUAGGAAUUGGGUUGUCAUCCAAAAUCCUCUGCACAACUUUCCAAAUUCCCAUUUUUAUUCAAAUUUCUAAGCUACUUCAAGAUUUUUAAGGGUCUAGGGAAAAAAAAAUCUGAACAACCCUAAUGUAACUUAUUUGUAUAAUAGUAAUAAACCAUGUGAUUAUUCCUUUCAUCUGAGCGAAUUCUUAAACAACUAACACAUUGCAUAAUUUCCAAGCUGUCAGAAAAUAACUAUAGUUUCAGGUAUUAACUAAAGUGUUAAAAAUUUUAACCGUUUUCUUCCCUCUGUUCCUCACCAAUUCUGCCCAUCAGCAUUGGGAUCCUCGGAAAUGAAGUUUGUAGCCUUUCAGACCCGCUACAGCAGGGGGUAUAGAAGGGCUGAGACAUAUGUGUAAGAUAAAUGACAGGCUUACCAGAGCAUCCUUAGCCCCUAGCAGAGUUCCUAUUAAAUGAGUGAAUCUGGAAAUUGAUCCAGCUUGUUCUUUUGUAUUAUUUGUGAAAUAAAAUUCAUAUUUUAUGGCAAGACAAGGAAAACUUAAACAUAAAAAAUUUUCUCUGGGGACUUCCCUGGCAGUUCAGUGGUUAAGACUCUGCAUUUCCACUGCAGGGGGCCUGGGUUCGAUCCCUGGUCGGGGAACUAAGAUCCCUCAUGCCACGUGGUGUGGCCAAAAGAAAAAAAAUUUUUUUUUUCUCUGCUCUUUGGCCUCCUCUCUUUCCUCUACUGUGCAUUGUGUAUCUGCAUUAUGCAUCAACCAAACCUCCCCAUCAGCAGAAAUACCUGUUCAACCAUAAAGAGAAACAUUCUAGCACCAACAAGGUACUCCUUAAAAGGUAACAUUCCUUCUUAAUGGGAAAAAAAGCCCCUUAAAAUGAAAUGUAGAGAAAAGCUCUCUCUCCAUGUUUGGGCCUCUGUCAUCUUUAGAAAAAUUCACUCUGGAGUUAGUUUAUAAAUGUGAUCAUAUUGUCUAUGGCACUGCUUUUGCUCUACAAUGGCAGCACCCCAAUUAAGCAAAAUGUUAUUUUCUCAAAAAAUUUUUUUCAUUCUUCCCAUCAGAAGACCUGUAUUACGAAAAAUUGUACUCAAUUAUUAUAGUUUGAAUAAGAUAAUUAUAUUUCAUUAAUAAAAAUGUGUGGAAAUUUG